rnacentral:rRNA from 1 species
UGCAAGUCGAACGGAUCAUGCCGCGGCACUUCGGUGUCGCGGGGUGGUGAGUGGCGGACGGCUGAGUAACACGUGGGUGACCUACCCGACGGUGGGGGAUAACUGCCCGAAAGGGUGGCUAAGACCGCAUGGGCCGCACCGAGCGUACGGUGCGGCAAAGGCAGGAGCCGGAAGGCUGCUGACGCCGACGGAGGGGCCCGCGGCCGAUUAGCUGGUUGGUGGGGUAACGGCCUACCAAGGCGACGAUCGGUAGCUGAUCUGAGGGGAUGGUCAGCCAGACUGGGACUGCGACACGGCCCAGACUCCUACGGGAGGCAGCAGUUAGGAAUUUUGGGCAAUGGGCGCAAGCCUGACCCAGCAACGCCGCGUGGGCGAGGAAGGCCUUCGGGUCGUAAAGCCCUUUUCUCGGGGACGAUGAUGACGGUACCCGAGGAAGAAGCCCCGGCUAACUACGUGCCAGCAGCCGCGGUAAUACGUAGGGGGCGAGCGUUGCCCGGAUUUAUUGGGCGUAAAGGGCGCGCAGGCGGCUCGGCUUGUCGUGGGUGAAAUCGUUCGGCUCAACCGAACGGGGUCCCGCGAAACGGUCGAGCUGGAGCAAGGCAGGGGGUCGUGGAAUUCCCGGUGUAGUGGUGGAAUGCGUAGAGAUCGGGAGGAACACCAGUGGCGAAGGCGGCGACCUGGGCCUGUGCUGACGCUGAGGCGCGAAAGCGUGGGGAGCGAUCCGGAUUAGAUACCCGGGUAGUCCACGCCGUAAACGAUGCGGACUAGGUGUCGGGGGUAUCGACCCCCUCGGUGCCGGAGCGAACGCGUUAAGUCCGCCGCCUGGGGACUACGGCCGCAAGGCUAAAACUCAAAGGAAUUGACGGGGGCCCGCACAAGCAGCGGAGCGUGUGGUUUAAUUCGAUGCAACGCGAAGAACCUUACCUGGGCUUGACAUGCUUCUGGUACCGAGGGGAAACCCGAGGGACCCGCAAGGGAGGAAGCACAGAUGCUGCAUGGCUGUCGUCAGCUCGUGCC